AUGCCGCCCAUCCCCGUCGCCUCAUGCCCUCCGCGGCCACGGCGCCCGGCGGGGCGCUCCGCCGCCGGCCUCUACCUCAUCUCCCCCCCCCCCUCCCCGGCCCCAAAACCGGGGGGCUGCCUUCGGGGGGGGGGGAAAGGGGGUGAGGAAGAGGAGGGGGGUCGUAAUGCUGCUUGCUUCCUUGGGGGGGGGGGGCUGCGUGUGGGGAGGAGGGCAGCGGGACCUGCCAGGGAUGCCCGGGGAUGCCGUCCCGCGGCCCUCGGAGCCGGAAUCCCGUUUAAGGAGCCGGGAGGGGGAAAGGGCUCGGGGUUGGGGGGGGAGGAAGAGGAGGAGGAGGAGGAGGGUGGUUGGGGGCCGGGGGGGGGGGCGGUGGGAGGCGGGGGUGGGGGUGGCGGAGCGCAAGGAGCCGGGCUCGGGAGCAACUUUCCCUGCAGGGCUUUGUGGCGGUGGGGGCCGAGCCGCCGCGGAGGGCGGUGCGGGGCCGCCCCGCUCCAAACUUCGCACCAAUCCCGGGCAGCCCCCGCCCUCCCCGCCGAGC